rnacentral:rRNA from 1 species
AGUUGGUGGAGUGAUUUGUCUGGUUUAUUCCGAUAACGAACGAGACCCUAACCUACUAAAUAGUUGGAGUGUAAUCAGGCACUUUAAACUUCUUAGAGGGAUAAGCAGCUUCCAGCUGCAUGAGAUUGGGCAAUAACAGGUCU